rnacentral:rRNA from 1 species
AGAGUUUGAUCCUGGCUCAGGACGAACGCUGGCGGCGUGCCUAAUACAUGCAAGUAGAACGCUGAAGAGAGGAGCUUGCUCUUCUUGGAUGAGUUGCGAACGGGUGAGUAACGCGUAGGUAACCUGCCUUGUAGCGGGGGAUAACUAUUGGAAACGAUAGCUAAUACCGCAUAACAAUGGAUGACACAUGUCAUUUAUUUGAAAGGGGCAAUUGUUCCACUACAAGAUGGACCUGCGUUGUAUUAGCUAGUAGGUGAGGUAAUGGCUCACCUAGGCGACGAUACAUAGCCGACCUGAGAGGGUGAUCGGCCACACUGGGACUGAGACACGGCCCAGACUCCUACGGGAGGCAGCAGUAGGGAAUCUUCGGCAAUGGGGGCAACCCUGACCGAGCAACGCCGCGUGAGUGAAGAAGGUUUUCGGAUCGUAAAGCUCUGUUGUAAGUCAAGAACGGGUGUGAGAGUGGAAAGUUCACACUGUGACGGUAGCUUACCAGAAAGGGACGGCUAACUACGUGCCAGCAGCCGCGGUAAUACGUAGGUCCCGAGCGUUGUCCGGAUUUAUUGGGCGUAAAGCGAGCGCAGGCGGUUUGAUAAGUCUGAAGUUAAAGGCUGUGGCUCAACCAUAGUUCGCUUUGGAAACUGUCAAACUUGAGUGCAGAAGGGGAGAGUGGAAUUCCAUGUGUAGCGGUGAAAUGCGUAGAUAUAUGGAGGAACACCGGUGGCGAAAGCGGCUCUCUGGUCUGUAACUGACGCUGAGGCUCGAAAGCGUGGGGAGCGAACAGGAUUAGAUACCCUGGUAGUCCACGCCGUAAACGAUGAGUGCUAGGUGUUGGAUCCUUUCCGGGAUUCAGUGCCGCAGCUAACGCAUUAAGCACUCCGCCUGGGGAGUACGACCGCAAGGUUGAAACUCAAAGGAAUUGACGGGGGCCCGCAC